ACGGGCGAGUACCGCAUGGACUGCGGGGGGCGGGGGGCAGGAGCGGGGCAGGCACUGGCUCUCGGUUUGUAAAAGCAAGAGCUUCGGUUACUUGCGCGAGGUGGCGGGGCUCCGAGGAGGCCGGGAGGCCCGCGGGCCGCCCCGGAGCGCAGGAGCCCGCCGAGCGAGGGCGCCCCGCCGCCGGCUGCACCACGUGCGCGCACGUCUCCGCGGGGGCACAGCGACCCCGGCUGGGGAGGCGCGGGGACUGACCCCGGCACCGGCGCCCGCGCGGUUCCCACUCAGGCGGAGGUCCUUGCCGGCGCCCCGGCCCCUGCGGGCGGUUAUUUUCCUGUUCCCGCUCAAUCCGGUCCCGCGGGCGCGCCUGUCACGCACGCACACGCUUGACCGGGCGCGGGGGGGAAACCCAACGGCUGAAGGGCACACAUCACACCGUAUGGAAAUGGGCCCGUCCGGGGGACCCGUGGCUGCAGAUCGGAGAGGAAACCAGGCUCGCCGGCGCGGCCUCCCGCGGACAGGUCCCGGGCGCGCGGGACCGAGGCACAAAGAACUGCGGCAGAUGCAGUUCGGCCGCGCAGCUCCGGGGUCGAGGCCGAAGCUCCGGGCCGGGGUCCAACAGCCCCAGACCUGGGCCUCGCGGGGGGCGGAGCGCGCUGCCGCCGGGGCCGGGUGGCCAGGCGCCCGCCGCGGCCCCCCAGCUCCGCAGGCCCCCGGGGCCGGAGGGCGGGGGGCGGGGGGCGGGGGGCGGGAGGGGGCGCCGCGGCCAGGCCGGCCGGGUUGCUUGUUGUUUAAAGCAACCGCGUUGCACACGGUCUGCAGCAUCUGAAGGGGGUGGAGGCGGAAUUUCCUUCGGGGAGCGCGUGAGGGGCAUUCGCAACGGAAAACCAGACCAAAAGAGUAGUGACCAAGCCUCCUCGGAUUACUCUCCGCUGGCUCCUCCCUUUCUCCCCCCACCCCCCAGAUUUGCAUAAAAAAGGCCAAGGAACCUCUGGCGGGGCCCCAGCAGCGGCUCAGUCUGCUCCCCCGGGUCGGAGCCCCCCGGAGCCGAGCUCAGGCGAGCGGCGCCAAGCCCAGCGCACG
rnacentral:lncRNA from 12 species